UGGUGCUGGGCAGGUAGUGUACAGUGGGUUUUUGUUUAGAAGUUUUGUGCUGAAAACAGCUGCCUGUUGCAACUGGAAACAUGGUUGAUAAGAGCGCCAAGGGGAACUGCAGAUUUGGGUGAUAAUUAUCUGUGGGUUGUUACUACAAGCGACACCUUUCAAAUUAUGUUGUCAUUUAAUCUAUUGUUAAUAUUAAAAUAUUGAUUACAGCAGUUUUAACUCAACUGAUGCAAGAGAAUCUGAGAGGGGUCUGCCUGCACGGCUCCUCUGUGGAGUCGCUUCCGGUGCAGGCUCCGCUCUCAGCUCCACUGUCAGGACAGGACUUUUUUUUUAACGUCCCCCAAAGGAUGUAACUUAAGGCAUUCUCAGUUGUUUUUGCUACACUAUGCCUUGUGACAACGGAUAGAGUGGAGCCCAGGAUUGUAAAUGACUGCAAAAAGGCAGCAGAAUGGGUUAAAGCAAACCAGCAUGUGUUUUCAGCCGAAGUGGAGUUGCCUGAUGCACUGAAGAUGGGGGGAGAAGAACUGGCAGAGGCUGCACAGCUGUAUGGACAGCUUUGGGUUGAGGAAACAAGCGAGAGCCUGGACGAACAUGAGAGGGAAUUAAUCUUGGAGCCAUUCAAGUUUGCAUUUUACAACACUGAAGAUGUGUGGAAGUGUUGUGAAGAAAUUUCAGAUAGCCAAGGAUAUUUGGCGUACCGUGAAUGCCAAAUGGACAACAACUAAUGACUUUACAAGUAGUAGCGCAUUACUAUUGUUGUGUUACGCUGUGUUUGCUGAAUAAAGGGAAACAGAUCGUUUGAUCAGUUUGUCAA